rnacentral:rRNA from 1 species
UACGUAGGGGGCUAGCGUUGUCCGGAAUCAUUGGGCGUAAAGAGCGCGUAGGCGGCCAGAUAAGUCCGGUGUGAAAGUCAAAGGCUCAACCUUUGAAUGCCGCUGGAAACUGUCUGGCUAGAGUCCGGGAGGGGCGAGUGGAAUUCCUGGUGUAGCGGCGAAAUGCGCAGAUAUCAGGAGGAACACCGGUGGCGAAGGCGGCAUCCUGGACCGGCAUUGACGCUGAGGCGCGAAAGCCAGGGGAGCAAACGGG